rnacentral:rRNA from 1 species
ACAGUAGGGAAUCUUCGGCAAUGGACGAAAGUCUGACCGAGCAACGCCGCGUGAGUGAAGAAGGUUUUCGGAUCGUAAAACUCUGUUGGUAGAGAAAACGUUGGUGAGAGUGGAAAGCUCAUCAAGUGACGGUAACUACCCAGAAAGGGACGGCUAACUACGUGCCAG